UAUUUCUUAUUAGAGAAAUAGAAUUUACGUGGUAUAGUAAUAUAACAAUAUUUUUUAGGAGUGAUAGGCUUUUCAAGUAUGAUGAUAACUUGAUAUGCAAAAAAAAUAUUAAGUAUAAAAAUAGAUUAUGAAAGUUAAGCUUCAUAAUUAAAAUUAAUUUUUUUUAUUGAUUUUAUUAUAGUUUAAUAGCUUAUAAGAAGUUAAAACAAAAUUAUUUUAUAAGAAUUAUUUAAAUAAUUGCAUUAUACUUUUUGGUUUUAAUAUAAAUUAUGUUAGUAUUAGUAAUUAUUAUAAAUAAAUUAUAGGAACUCGGCAAAAUAUUUUUCACCUGUUUAUCAAAAACAUAACUAUAUGAUCUAAUAUAUAGCUAUUCCUGCUCAAUGAUAUAUUAAAUAGCCGCAGUACCCUGACUGUGCAAAGGUAGCAUAAUCAAUUGGCUUUUAAUUGGAGUCUUGUAUGAAUGGAUAUAUGGAAAAUCACUGUCUUUAAUUUUUAAAUAUUAAUUUAGUUUGUAAGUGAAAAUACUUACAUAUAUAUAUAGGACGAGAAGACCCUAGAAACUUAGCAAAUAUUUUGUUGGGGCGACAGAAUUACAAAAAACUAAUUUUACUAUACUAGACGUGUAAACAGCUAGAUUAAGUUACUCUAGGGAUAACAGCAUAAUUUUUACAGUUUGUGACCUCGAUGUUGGACUAGGGAAUUUAUUGUUUAGAAGACAAUAAAGUGUGCUCUGUUCGAGCU
rnacentral:rRNA from 1 species